GACGUAGGGGGCGAGCGUUGUCCGGAUUUAUUGGGCGUAAAGAGCUCGCAGGUGGUUCCUUAAGUCUGAUGUGAAAGCCCACGGCUCAACCGUGGAGGGUCAUUGGAAACUGGGGAACUUGAGUGCAGAAGAGGAAAGUGGAAUUCCAAGUGUAGCGGUGAAAUGCGCAGAGAUUUGGAGGAACACCAGUGGCGAAGGCGAACUUUCUGGUCUGUAACUGACACUGAGGCGCGAAAGCGUGGGGAGCAAACAGG
rnacentral:rRNA from 1 species